rnacentral:piRNA from 1 species
GUGGAUGAUGACCCCGAGGUGCGGAAGAA